rnacentral:lncRNA from 1 species
CUGUUCUCCUUCCUGUGCCGAGUGUGGUUUGCUAUCAAGCGGUGGCAGUUCAGCCACAAUCAGGGGCAGGGGGAGGGAGAGGCCCCCCGAAGAGGCAGAGGCCCUGCCUCGGCCGCCCUGAGCCUGGAAGCAUCAUGUUGCCUUUUAAUAUGGAGCAUGUGCCAUAGCUCUCCAGGAGAACCCCUCUGUGUCACAGCGAACCUCAGUCACUGACACUCAAAAGAAGGAAUUAUUUCAACUCAAUAAUAAAC